rnacentral:rRNA from 1 species
UGAGGAAUAUUGGACAAUGGGGGAAACCCUGAUCCAGCCAUGCCGCGUGAGUGAUGAAGGCCUUAGGGUUGUAAAGCUCUUUUAGAUGGGAAGAUAAUGACUGUACCAUCAGAAUAAGCCCCGGCUAAAUUCGUGCCAGCAGCCGCGGUAAUACGAAUGGGGCAAGCGUUGUUCGGAAUCACUGGGCGUAAAGCGUAUGUAGGCGGUUUAGCAAGUCAGAAGUGAAAUCCCAGGGCUCAACCUUGGAAUUGCUUUUGAAACUGCUAAGCUGGAGUCCCGGAGAGGUUAGCAGAAUUCCGAGUGUAGAGGUGAAAUUCGCAGAUAUUCGGAGGAAUACCAGUGGCGUAAGCGGCUAACUGGACGGGCACUGACGCUGAGAUACGAAAGCGUGGGGAUCAAACA